UGAUCAGACAGUGGGGUAUUUCCGAAGGUCUAUGGGUGGAGGGGAUGUGGAGCACAGUCGUAUCUGAAAGCUCAGAAUGCAAACUUUCGCAACUAGAACCAUCUGGAGUGAGAGGGGUGGUGAUACAGAGCUGGGACAGAUUUCUCUGGGUGUUUCCUCCCCUACAGCAUGUUUUUUAGAAGUGAAAUCAGGUUACGAAGAGCACUAAGGCAGCUUUGAAGGGGAAGUCCUGAGAGAACAGGCUGCAGCUUCGGGGUAUAACAUCACUAUUGUAAAACCUCAGAUUGGUGCUCAAGAUAGUUUUCAGACCCUGCACUUGAUGGAUCAGCUGGCACUACUCAGAUCAACACACUGGCUCACCUGGUCUUGUGGCCCCCACCCAGGAAAUGACUCAGCACAAGAGGACAGCUUUGACUCCCUGUGAUUUCAUCUCAGACCCAACCAGUCAGCUCUCCCUACUACUUGGCCCCCUACCCACCAAAUUAUCCUUAAAAAACCCCAGCCUCUAAAUUUUGGGGGUGACUGUUUUGAGUAAUAAUAAAACUCUGGUAUCCCAUUGAGCCAGCUCUGCAUGAAUUAGUUAACUGUUUCUCUCUUGCAGUUCCUCUGUCUUGAUAAAUCAGCCUGUCUGGGCAGUGGGCAAAAUGAACCCCCAACAGGAGGAUUUCAAAUGUAAAGGUAAGGAAAACUAUUACAUGUCCCUGUGUUCUGGCAGCAGGUAUGAGGCUGUGCCAGCCCUCCCUCUUGCUGUGAAGUUGCCUGUGGAUGGGACACUGUGAGCUAUUCCAAAGAAGAAUAAAGAUGUGAUCAUUGCAUUCAACUGAACCCCUUCAAUGACCUGUGAUUAGUCUGGGUAACAUGUACUGCUCAGAAAGAAAGAGAUAUUGGAGAUUUGUGUUUUCAUCUGUCUAAUUCAAAACAUGCAUGUGGAUGAAGGGGACAAGCUCUGUCCUGGGGAGG
rnacentral:lncRNA from 10 species